AAUAAGAGCAUAUGUGAGGAUGCCUUGGAAGUAAUGGCCGAAGAAGGACGUCGAAACCUGCGAUAAGCCUCGGGGAGUUGGUAAACAAACUUUGAUCCGAGGAUUUCCGAAUGGGGAAACCUAAUCUUGCUUGACAAGAUUGUCUAUACGGUGAAAGUCCGUAUAGAUGGGCACCCGCUGAACUGAAACAUCUUAGUAAGCGGAGGAAAAGAAAUCAAUUUAGAGAUUCCGUUAGUAGUGGCGAGCGAACGCGGAAAAGCCUUGACUGCGCAAUGAAGUUAUUUGUUAGCAGAAUGAAUCUGGAAAGGACAACCAUAGAGGGUGACAGUCCCGUAUGCGAAAACAAAAAAUUUCUCAACGCAAUCCGUUCCGAUGUAAAAGUCGGAAUCGAAAGUAGGUCAGGACACGUGAAAUCCUGAUUGAAGAAGUGUCGAUUUAUCGGCACGGCGGUGGAUCAUCAUCGAAGGCUAAAUACCAUUACUUACCGAUAGUGAACUAGUACCGUGAGGGAAAGGUGAAAAGAACCCCGUAACGGGGAGUGAAAUAGUCCCUGAAACCAUAUGCUUACAAGGAGAUAGAGCCGUGCUUCGCACGGAAUAACCAAGAAACAAAAAACAAUGAUCAAACAUGUUUGAAAUUUGUAUCUUAGAAUUUGGUGCUUCCGCGCGGAGCGUGGUGAUAUCGUGCCUUUUGGAGAAUGACCCAACGAGUUAACGAAUACGGCAAGCUGAAGCUUCCAAGGGAGAACAGGCGUAGCGAAAGCGAGUCCUAAAUGGGCGUUAGUCGUAUUCUUUAGACCCGAAACUGAGUGAUCUAUCCAUGAGCAGGCUGAACGUUGACGAAAGUCAACAGGAGGGCCGAACCCACCUAUGUAGCAAAAUGGGGGGAUGACUUGUGGAUAGGGGUAAAAUGCCAAGCGAACUCAGAGAUAGCUGGUUCUCCUCGAAAUAUAUAUAGGUAUAGCCCGCGAUCAGAGGGCCUGGGGGUAGAGCACUGGAUGGAUAUUUGGGACGCAAGCCUCAGUAUCCAAUCAAACUCCGAAUACCAGGUUACCGUUAUCGCGGAGUCAGUCCGUGAGGGCUAAGCUUCACGGUCGAGAGGGAAACAACCCAGACCACCGGCUAAGGUCCCUAAAUGAAUGCUAAGUGUGAAACGAUGUGGCAAAGCCCAGACAACCAGGAGGUUGGCUUGGAAGCAGCCAUCCUUUAAAGAAAGCGUAAUAGCUCACUGGUCAAGGUUUGCUGCGCGGAAAAUUUAACGGGGCUAAGCAUUCUACCGAAGCCGUGGACACCGUGUUUUGCACGGAAUAACCAAGAAACAAGAAACAAUAACCAAACAUGUUUGGAGUUUGUAACUUGAGGUUUGGUGCUUCCGCGCAGAGCGCGGUGUGGUAGAGGAGCGUUCGUAGUGUUGUGAAGCUGAUUUGUGAAAAUUGGUGGAACGCUGCGAAGUGAGAAUGUUGGGAUGAGUAACGAAUAUGACGGGUGAGAACCCCGUCCACCGGAUACCCAAGGUUUCCCGGGCUACCACAAUGGUCCCGGGGUUAGGCGGUUGCUAAGGCGAAAGUCGAUGCACAGCAGGUUGAUAUUCCUGCCCUCGGCUUGUCUUUACCCUUCGCCGACACUUUUUCAAGCUUGUCAGUCGCUAUGGCUAUGUGACUGAUAGGGGAGAAAGAGGCAGGAAAAGGCGGAAAUUAAUUAGACAAGUCAGCCGUACCGCAAACCGACACAGGUGGGUUGGUCGAGAAGACUAAGGUGAGCGAGAUAACCUUCGUUAAGGAACUCGGCAAUAAAGCGUCCGUAACUUAGGGAUAAGGACUGCCUUUGCCGUGCUUCGCACGGAAUAACCAAGAAACAAGAAACAAUGAUCAAACAUGUUUGGGAUUUGUAUCUUAGAAUUUGGUGCUUCCGCGCGGAGCGCGGUUAGAGGCCGCAGCGAAAGUAUUUCAGGCGACUGUUUACCAAAAACUUAGGUCCAUGCAAACCAGAAUUGGGAAGUAUAUGGGCUGAUGCCUGCCCAGUGCUAGUAGGUCAACGUUUCUGCUGAUCCGACAACUGGACGCUGUCUGUUAGCUUUUUAGCUUGGUUGCUGGCUAUUAAAUUUAUUUGCCACAAAAAAUCAAGCACUAACAGGUAGCAUCCAGUUGUUGGAGAGGUAAGAACUUAAGCCCUAGUAAACGGCAGCAGUAACUAUAACUGUUCUAUGGUGGGAAUACCCGAAUGGCUGAAAGGCCACGGGACAAGAGCUGCCAUAGUGAGGUAUUCAAACCUCUGCUCGAACUCCUAUGCCAGGAGAUGUAGAGUAAAAAUCUGACUAAAUGCUGGAAACUCUCUGAAAUUCCAACGGGUAACUGGUUGGACUAUGGAGACAAUCAGCAGGAAAGACUAGAUAGGGGGUGGUGAUCUUGAAAGCAAUUUUGAGAUCGCGCGUCCUGAUGUAUGAUAUAAAGCGUUUGAUGAAUAUAAGUCAAAGCCGUUUGGGGCAAGAUGAUAAAUCCCUACCCAAAUGUCUUUAUAUCAGGAGUAUAAUAUCUAUUGACGACGGUAAUUAGGCGAAGCAGAAGCUUAGCUGAAUUAGAUGAAAUAACUCUAGCCUGCGGAUUAAUAGACGCGCAAUUAUCUCUCUAGAAUCCUCAACGACUAUACGUCAGAAUCGAGAGAUCGAUAAGAUAUAGUCUGAACUCUAUGGCGACAUAGAGAAGAAUUAACAUCAAAGAGCGAAAUUCCUUGUCGGGUGAGAUGGAACCGCCCGAAACGAGUUGUGAAACUCGUUAAGUAAACUGGCUAAUAACGGUGAAGCCCUUCUGGGGUAAUACCGUGGGAAGUCCCCGCCUAGGGCGGAUGACCCCGUAACGACUGAUUCGAAAGAAGAGAUCCGCACAGUUGCGGAUAACACGCCAGCUCUUGUCUAGAAGAUGUGCAAUGGAGUCCGGAAAGGAGACAUAUGGAUAUAAAUUCGUAUGUGACUGGACUGACGGAUGGUGAAGGCUGUUUCUGUGUUUCGUUUAAUUUGAGAAAUAAAUUAAACACAAACAUAGAGGUGAGACCAAGUUUCUCAAUCAGCUUAAAUAAGAAAGACUUGUCGCUCUUGCAAAAAAUAUUCAAAAUAUUUGGUUGCGGAGCAAUAAGGCAAUCUGCUCGCGAUAGAUGCUAUAAGUACGAAGUAAGAAAUAUUAAAGAUCUUAAUCGAUCAAUUAUUCCUCACUUCAAAAAAUAUCCCCUACAGGGGGCAAAGGCAUCUGACUUUGAUGGAUUUGUUAAGGUCUGUGAGAUGAUAAAAGCAAAUCUACAUCGGAGUAAGCGGCACUUGCCCGAAUUGAUCGAGAUAGCAUAUUCGAUCAAUUGUGGCAAAAGAAAAUAUAGUAAGGAAGAACUCCUAAAGCACAUGGCAAGAUGAAGAUAUAGUCUGAUCCAUUAGUAAUAAUGUGAAUAAUUGAAGUUCCGACCCGCACGAAUGGCAUAACGGUCUGAAAACUGUCUCAACGAAGGGCUCGGUGAAAUUGCAAUACCGGUACAGAUGCCGGUUAACCACAGCAAGACGGAGAGACCCCGUGAAGCUUUACUACAACUUGGUAUUGAUUUUUGGGUAUUUAUGUGUAGCGUAGGUGGGAGCUUCGGCGCCAAUGAAACACCACUCUUAAAUAUUUGAAAAUCUAACUCCUCCACAGGGGGAAGACAGUGCUUGGUGGGUAGUUUGACUGGGGCGGUCGCCUCCCAAAGAGUAACGGAGGCGUUCAAAGGUUGGCUUAGCUCGUAUGGAAAGCGAGCCUCGACGUGCAAAAGCAUAAGCCAGCUUAACUGCAAGGCCUACAAGCCGCGCAGAUACGAAAGUAUGAUUUAGUGAUCCUCUGAUUCCUUAUGAAUGGGUCAGAGCUCAACGGAUAAAAGCUACUCCGGGGAUAACAGGCUGAUCGCGCCCAAUAGUCCACAUAGACGGCGCGGUUUGGCACCUCGAUGUCGGCUCACCGCAUCCUGGAGCUGGAGCAGGUUCCAAGGGUUUGGCUGUUCGCCAAUUAAAGCGGUACGCGAGCUGGGUUCAGAACGUCGCGAGACAGU
rnacentral:rRNA from 1 species